CUACGGGUGGCAGCAGGCGAGAAAACUUUGCAAUGUGCGAAAGCACGACAAGGUUAAUCCGAGUGGUUUCUGCUAAAGGAACCUUUUGUCGGUCCUAGAAACACCGAUGAAUAAGGGGUGGGCAAGUUCUGGUGUCAGCCGCCGCGGUAAAACCAGCACCUCAAGUGGUCAGGAUGAUUAUUGGGCCUAAAGCAUCCGUAGCCGGCUCUGUAAGUUUUCGGUUAAAUCUGUACGCUUAACGUACAGGCUGCCGGGAAUACUGCAUAGCUAGGGAGUGGGAGAGGUAGACGGUACUCGGUAGGAAGGGGUAAAAUCCUUUGAUCUAUUGAUGACCACCUGUGGCGAAGGCGGUCUACCAGAACACGUCCGACGGUGAGGGAUGAAAGCUGGGGGAGCAAACCGGAUUAGAUACCCCCGUAGUC
rnacentral:rRNA from 1 species